rnacentral:lncRNA from 12 species
GACAGUUCCCAGGGUGGGAGGUACUGGGCAGGGCCCAGCCCCAUCCCUGCUCUGAGGAGAUGGUUAUCAUGCAUACACAGGCAGAGGUGUCAGGAAUGCACUUUAUGGCCAGCAAAGAGCAGAGGCUUCCAGACAAACAUUGCCAAAGUUCGCAAAGGUGGUGGUUUUCUUACGGGAAUGUCACAACUGCGGAGGUCCCACGGCCUGGGAAAAUCCGUGGGAGGAGAGCAGAGCUCUGCACAGACACGUGGCCUUGGUACAGCCCUCGGUGUCCUGGGACAGCUCUGGCAUCCAGAUCACCCACUGAAGUUACCCAGAUCCACGCUGGGACUGUGGUCGGCGCUCACCACGUUGUGCUCCACUACAGGGAGAAAUGUGAAACCCUAAAACUCUGUCACAGAUGGGAAUUAUUAGGUGGGGGCUCUCUCCCCCCACCUCUCUGCUGUUAUUUAAUCCCUUGUGACCCAACAUUCCUCCUUAAAAACCCUGGAGCAUCGCUACCCUUCCACCUCAGGGGGAGAAAAACCAGCAGCAUUUGUUACAGCCACACUGCUCUGUGAUGUUCCACUGAAAACACUUCCCUGCCAGCCGCAGGAUCGCUGCUUUUCCAGAGGAAUAUGCAUUUUUCAUCAACGUCUGAAAAAUGAGGGCAGCAGGAUGGGCUCCCAGGAAGAGGCAGGAGGCGUUUUUCACAAGCCCUUAAUUAACUCGUGAGCCUAAAGGGGUUUUCUCCACGCUCCCAACACUUUUAACCCCUCGUGGUGGUUUCGGUGGCUGAACCUCUCCAGCGCCUCAUGGUCUCUGGUGCUGAUACAAGCAGCCAGGGAUCAAUCAGAGAGACACCCAGAUUGCACAAGAACAUUUAUUUCAGUAACUUUUAGCAGGAUCUCACCCACAUUUCUGUAUUUUAUCAUGGACAGGGGCAAACUGAAGUGGUUUCUCACUCCAAAGCUGCUUUAACACAUCUGUGAGGGCUUUGUGGCAAUGUGAACUGGUAUUUUAAAGUGUCUUUAUUCAAAUCACAAUUUUAUAAACGUAAUAUAUUUGAAUAUUAUAGUCCUGCUUCUUUCCCAGGAUAUAAUUUUUGUCUUCUUUUGAGUGUUUUUCAUGUGAUCCUAUAUUAAACCUUCAUAAACGCGCUACAUAGAACAUUCUUCUGCAGGAGCACACAGCCCUCAGCUGUGUUCUCAAAUGUAUCCACUCGGGACGCGACUUCGCCUCAAUUUUUAACGUUUUUUGUUCCCACUUUUAUUAAUUUAGACACCAAGUCAAGGAAAUUCUUAAAAGUUUGUUUUGCCCAAGUCACGCUCAGCUGCAAGUGCUGGAUGUAAAAGCCGCCAAGAACCACCCCAUGAGUUCAGCAAUGGGCAAACCCCAAACGCGAGAGAUUUAAACGCGGCGCUGCUGAGGGCGAGGUGUGAGCUCGGCGCCGCCUCGCUCCCCUGAGCCCCGGGGCGGCCAUUUUGGGGCCUGCCUCCCGGGGAGCGGGCGGAGCGCACGGCACAGCGGGACACAGCAUUGAACGCGGCCCUUCAGGCGGGGACAGUCUGGGACACGCCGGGGACAACCGGGGACAACCGGGGACCCCCCCCCCCCCCCCCCCCCCCCCCCCCCCCCCCCCCCCCCCCCCCCCCCCCCCCCCCCCCCCCCCCCCCCC